UACGGGGGGAGCAAGCGUUGUUCGGAUUUACUGGGCGUAAAGGGCGCGUAGGCGGUAGCACAAGUCAGUUGUGAAAUCUCCGGGCUUAACUCGGAAAGGUCAACUGAUACUGUGCGACUAGAGUGCAGAAGGGGCAACUGGAGUUCUCGGCGUAGCGGUGAAAUGCGUAGAUAUCGAGAGGAACACCUGCGGCGAAGGCGGGUUGCUGGGCUGACACUGACGCUGAGGCGCGAAAGCGUGGGGAGCAAACGGG
rnacentral:rRNA from 1 species